GGGAAGAUUGCCUAAGCAAGAGAGCUUCACAGGGAGCCUUGAUGUCUGAGUAAGAAUUAACCAGGUGAAGCAGAAGGGGAAAUAGGCUCUAGGAACAGACAGCUUUGAGCGCAAAGGCAGGCAGAGUGUGAGGAGAGGAGGCCUUACUUCCUUGUGACUGCAGCAUGAAGUUUGUUCAUAUAUCAUGUAGCAAUUACCAUACCAGGCUUGUCUGGCUGACGUAUACUUGAGGGAGUGUGGAAAGUGUUGAAUGCCUGAAGAUAAAUCAACUCUUCCUCUGGGAGGGCACGGAUAAACAACUUCAUCGAUGUGCUUCAGGUUACCAUUUGAAAAGGCAGUAGAGAUAUGUAUAAAGGCUUCCAGCUUUGGCAUCUGACUAGCCAUAAGAGCUUCUGGGUGGCAGUGAUGUUAAGUUGCACAGCAAGUCUACAGAAGAUUAAGCAGAAGGAAAUACAGUGAGAUAAGUCAGCAUCAUGCCUUGCUAUAACUGCGCCUACUCCCAUAACUGGCAUACCUAUCAGAUUUUGGUGGCUGCACCAAAACACCAGGAAGAAAAGGAUGGGGCACGGCUGCACAGUUAUGUGAUACUUGGAAUGUCUUAUGUAUUGAUGAUGUGUUUGUGUACAUAAACCCUAUUCACUGAUGCACUGUAUGCAUAUUUAGAGGUCACUUGGCUCUAAUCAACUGGAAAAAGAAUCACAAUCCUCUGAAUUGACAAAGGUGCUUCUAUAAGCAGCCAUUAAAAGAACAAAAACAUGUAAAUUAAGCAGCUAACUGAAGAAAUUGGAAAAUAUAAAUAAACUGGAGAGAAGCAACAGUGGAUUUUUAAAUGAGCAAUAUAAGUUGUUAUAAAGUUCCAGGCCAGACAUGAAAAUUGAUGUCAAAAUCUGAAAUUGCAACUACUGGAAUACAAAGCUAUAUACACAGUAUGUGAUAACAAUAAAAUACUUCAUUCUAGGAAUACAUGGUUUAUCGAAUACCAGGAAACUUAUUAAUUUAAUUUAACUCAAAAAGAGAAAAACUGUAUAAUAAUCUAUAUGUAUUUUGAAAAGUUUAAGACGAUGGUUAGUUUUCAUUUCCAAUUUCAUUAAAUGAAUUCACUAGAAUAGGAAUAAAAUGAUUAAACAAUAUGUAUUUAAGUUUGCUAGCCAAUGUCAUUCUUAAUGGUGAAAAGCUAGGAAUACUGCUUGUAAAGCCAGGACUAGAAAUAAUGCCUGCAGUCACAACUACUACUUAACAUUGUUCUGAGGUCCUAGCCUUGUAAGUAAUUAGAAAGAAAACUAAAAUUAAUGAAGAAA
rnacentral:antisense_RNA from 1 species